GACGAACGCUGGCGGCGUGCCUAAUACAUGCAAGUCGAGCGAAGCGGCGGAUGGGUGAGUAACGCGUGGGUAACCUGCCCUUAAGUCUGGGAUACCAUUUGGCAACAGAUGCUCAUACCGGAUAUUAAAGGGUGGGGGUGGGGUGAAUUAGCUAGUUGGUAAGGUAACGGCUUACCAAGGCGAUGAUGCAUAGCCGAGUUGGGAGACUGACCGGCCACAUUGGGAUUGAGGCAGGGGCCAAACGGCAACGGGAGGCAGCAGUAGGGAAUCUUCCACAAUGGACGAAACCCUGAGGCAGCAACGCCGGGUGCGGGAUGACGGCCUUCGGGUUGGAAACCGCUUUAAGCCAUGACGCGGUAGUGGCAGAAGAAGCACCGGCUAACUACGUGCCAGCAGCCGCGGUAAUAC
rnacentral:rRNA from 1 species